CAUAGCAUUUUAGUAAUAUAUCUUGGUCCUCGUCGUUGUUUGUGGUGCACACACUGUUGCGUGCACAGUUUUGUAUAUAGCGUAUGUUGGUCGUCGCCGCCGCCGCCGUGGUGGUGGGGACUCACGGCGGGGUUAACAAAGGGGUUCCAACUGAUGUAUGCCUCGGAUCUGGUGCAUAUAUGCCUCGGAUCCUACGUGCAGCAGGUCUUUGAAUAUGUGUAUAUAUGUAUAUGUAUGUAUGUGGGUGAUGUGUUCCUUGCCAUGAUCUUUGUCAGGUGAGCAGUUCUUCGCUGUUCCGGCCUCUA